rnacentral:rRNA from 1 species
UGCAAGUCGAACGAACUCUGGUAUUGAUUGGUGCUUGCAUCAUGAUUUACAUUUGAGUGAGUGGCGAACUGGUGAGUAACACGUGGGAAACCUGCCCAGAAGCGGGGGAUAACACCUGGAAACAGAUGCUAAUACCGCAUAACAACUUGGACCGCAUGGUCCGAGUUUGAAAGAUGGCUUCGGCUAUCACUUUUGGAUGGUCCCGCGGCGUAUUAGCUAGAUGGUGGGGUAACGGCUCACCAUGGCAAUGAUACGUAGCCGACCUGAGAGGGUAAUCGGCCACAUUGGGACUGAGACACGGCCCAAACUCCUACGGGAGGCAGCAGUAGGGAAUCUUCCACAAUGGACGAAAGUCUGAUGGAGCAACGCCGCGUGAGUGAAGAAGGGUUUCGGCUCGUAAAACUCUGUUGUUAAAGAAGAACAUAUCUGAGAGUAACUGUUCAGGUAUUGACGGUAUUUAACCAGAAAGCCACGGCUAACUACGUGCCAGCAGCCGCGGUAAUACGUAGGUGGCAAGCGUUGUCCGGAUUUAUUGGGCGUAAAGCGAGCGCAGGCGGUUUUUUAAGUCUGAUGUGAAAGCCUUCGGCUCAACCGAAGAAGUGCAUCGGAAACUGGGAAACUUGAGUGCAGAAGAGGACAGUGGAACUCCAUGUGUAGCGGUGAAAUGCGUAGAUAUAUGGAAGAACACCAGUGGCGAAGGCGGCUGUCUGGUCUGUAACUGACGCUGAGGCUCGAAAGUAUGGGUAGCAAACAGGAUUAGAUACCCUGGUAGUCCAUACCGUAAACGAUGAAUGCUAAGUGUUGGAGGGUUUCCGCCCUUCAGUGCUGCAGCUAACGCAUUAAGCAUUCCGCCUGGGGAGUACGGCCGCAAGGCUGAAACUCAAAGGGAUUUGACGGGGGCCCGCACAAGCGGUGGAGCAUGUGUUUAAUUCGAAGCUACGCGAGAACCUUACCAGUCUUGACAUACUAUGCAAAUCUAGAGAUUAGACGUUCCCUUCGGGGACAUGGAUACAGGUGUGCAUGAUGUCGUCAGCUCGUGUCAGUGAGAUGGUGGGUAGUCCCGCACGAGCGCACCUUAUUAUCAGUUGC